CAAAAAGCAGUGGUUUGUUGCCUAUGUGGGCAGGCCUCUCGUAACCUUCAGGUAUAUAAUUGCCACUGUUAUUGGGUGAACCUAUGUUUAUUUUUGUAACUCAAGGUUCAGUAAACGAUGGAACAUUU